GAUGAACGCUGGCGGCGUGCCUAAUACAUGCAAGUCGAGCGAACAGAUGAGAAGCUUGCUUCUCUGAUGUUAGCGGCGGACGGGUGAGUAACACGUGGGUGACCUACCUAUAAGACUGGGAUAACUCCGGGAAACCGGGGCUAAUACCGGAUAAUAUUUUGAACCGCAUGGUUCGAUAGUGAAAGACGGUUUCGGCUGUCACUUAUAGAUGGACCCGCGCCGUAUUAGCUAGUUGGUAAGGUAACGGCUUACCAAGGCGACGAUACGUAGCCGACCUGAGAGGGUGAUCGGCCACACUGGAACUGAGACACGGUCCAGGCUCCUACGGGAGGCAGCAGUAGGGAAUCUUCCGCAAUGGGCGAAGGCCUGACGGAGCAACGCCGCGUGAGUGAUGAAGGUCUUCGGAUCGUAAAACUCUGUUGUUAGGGAAGAACAAAUUUGUUAGUAACUGAACAAGUCUUGACGGUACCUAACCAGAAAGCCACGGCUAACUACGUGCCAGCAGCCGCGGUAA
rnacentral:rRNA from 1 species